rnacentral:misc_RNA from 1 species
AAGUCGUAACAAGGUUUCCGUAGGUGAACCUGCGGAAGGAUCAUUAAUGAAUUUUAGGACGUUCUUUUUAGAAGUCCGACCCUUUCAUUUUCUUACACUGUGCACACACUUCUUUUUUACACACACUUUUAACACAUUAGUAUAAGAAUGUGAUAGUCUCUUAAUUGAGCAUAAACAAAAAUAAAACUUUCAGCAACGGAUCUCUUGGCUCUC